AUGGCCGGAAGCAGCCUCUGGGUGGUUCGAUUGGCUUCCCUUCUUGCAGUCGGAUUCGUGGUCGGCUCCGUCGAGGCCAGCCCGGGAGAUGCUCAUCCGCUGUACAGAACUUGUGUGAAGGAGUGUAAGAAUACAGGGGUUAUUGGAAGUAACAUCAUCAGCCACUGUCAGUCCCAGGAGAAUGACAGCACAUCUGCCGGAAGUUCUUGGUACACACAGGAGCCCCUUUACAUGCAGUGGAAGCACCAAAGCUGUAUGUCAGACUGCCGCUACUACUGCAUGAUACGAAGAGAAGAGGAACGGCAAUUAGGUGGCCUGAGCCCUGUUAAAUAUCAUGGAAAAUGGCCCUUCAAACGUGUUUCUGUCUUCCAGGAGCCCCUUUCAGCUGCACUGUCUGCUCUCAACCUAUUGACGCACUUCAUUGGCUGGCUUUCAUUCUUCCUCCAAGUGAAUUACAGAUUACCUCUUAGACCUCAGACGAAGAGGACAUACUACGAAUACACUGGCCUGUGGCAUAUCUAUGCAAUAUUAUCACUGAAUGCAUGGUUCUGGAGCACUAUAUUCCAUACUAGGGAUAUUGACUUGACUGAGAAACUGGAUUACUCUUCAGCUGUGGCCCAACUUGGCUACUCUUUAAUCCUUACAUUGCUAAGAACUUUUAAUGUCAAGGAUGAGGCUGGCAGGGUGAUGUUUGCUGCACCUAUUCUAGCAUUCGUUACAACACACAUCUUGUAUCUUAACUUCUAUGAACUUGACUAUGGAUGGAACAUGAAAGUCUGUGUGGCAAUGGGUGUUGUUCACAUUGUGGCAUGGACAACCUGGGCUGUUGUGACCCAUCAUCCGUCACGAUUCAAGGUUUGGAUCGUCAUAUUCGGAGGAGCUCUAGCUAUGCUUCUUGAAGUGUAUGACUUUCCUCCAUACAAGGGGUAUGCCGAUGCACAUUCGCUGUGGCACGCGAGCACCAUUCCUCUCACCUAUCUUUGGUGGACCUUCGUUAGAGACGAUGCAGAGUUCCGCACCUCCACACUUGUUAAGAAGGCCAAGUAG
rnacentral:rRNA from 1 species